UUGCACCUCUUGGUUAGCGGCGGACGGGUGAGUAACACGUGGGCAACCUGCCUGUAAGACUGGGAUAACACCGGGAAACCGGUGCUAAUACCGGAUAAUCCUUUUCCUCUCAUGAGGAAAAGCUGAAAGUCGGUUUACGCUGACACUUACAGAUGGGCCCGCGGCGCAUUAGCUAGUUGGUGAGGUAACGGCUCACCAAGGCGACGAUGCGUAGCCGACCUGAGAGGGUGAUCGGCCACACUGGGACUGAGACACGGCCCAGACUCCUACGGGAGGCAGCAGUAGGGAAUCUUCCGCAAUGGACGAAAGUCUGACGGAGCAACGCCGCGUGAGCGAUGAAGGCCUUCGGGUCGUAAAGCUCUGUUGUUAGGGAAGAACAAGUACCGGAGUAACUGCCGGUACCUUGACGGUACCUAACCAGAAAGCCACGGCUAACUACGUGCCAGCAGCCGCGGUAAUACGUAGGUGGCAAGCGUUGUCCGGAAUUAUUGGGCGUAAAGCGCGCGCAGGCGGUCCUUUAAGUCUGAUGUGAAAGCCCACGGCUCAACCGUGGAGGGUCAUUGGAAACUGGGGGACUUGAGUACAGAAGAGGAAAGCGGAAUUCCACGUGUAGCGGUGAAAUGCGUAGAGAUGUGGAGGAACACCAGUGGCGAAGGCGGCUUUCUGGUCUGUAACUGACGCUGAGCGCGAAAGCGUGGGGAGCAAACAGGAUUAGAUACCCCUGGUAGUCCACGCCGUAAACGAUGAGUGCUAAGUGUUAGAGGGUUUCCGCCCUUUAGUGCUGCAGCUAACGCAUUAAGCACUCCGCCUGGGGAGUAC
rnacentral:rRNA from 2 species